rnacentral:rRNA from 1 species
AUUGAACGCUGGCGGCAGGCCUAACACAUGCAAGUCGAACGGUAACAGGAAACAGCUUGCUGUUUCGCUGACGAGUGGCGGACGGGUGAGUAAUGUCUGGGAAACCGCCUGAUGGAGGGGGAUAACUACUGGAAACGGUAGCUAAUACCGCAUAACGUCGCAAGACCAAAGAGGGGGACCCUCGGGCCUCUUGCCAUCGGAUGUGCCCAGAUGGGAUUAGCUUGUUGGUGGGGUAACGGCUCACCAAGGCGACGAUCCCUAGCUGGUCUGAGAGGAUGACCAGCCACACUAGAACUGAGACACGGUCCAGACUCCUACGGGAGGCAGCAGUGGGGAAUAUUGCACAAUGGGCGCAAGCCUGAUGCAGCCAUGCCGCGUGUAUGAAGAAGGCCUUCGGGUUGUAAAGUACUUUCAGCGGGGAGGAAGGGAGUAAAGUUAAUACCUUUGCUCAUUGACGUUACCCGCAGAAGAAGCACCGGCUAACUCCGUG